rnacentral:rRNA from 1 species
GGAUAACUUCGGGAAACCGAGGCUAAUACCGCAUAAUACCUUCGGGUCAAAGGAGUAAUUCGCUUAAGGAGGGGGUCGCGGCUGAUUAGCUAGUUGGUAGGGUAAUGGCCUACCAAGGCAAUGAUCAGUAUCCGGCCUGAGAGGGCGCACGGACACACUGGAACUGAAACACGGUCCAGACUCCUACGGGAGGCAGCAGUGGGGAAUUUUGCACAAUGGGGGAAACCCUGAUGCAGCAACGCCGCGUGGAGGAUGAAGUCCCUUGGGAUGUAAACUCCUUUCGACCGGGACGAUAAUGACGGUACCGGUGGAAGAAGCCCCGGCUAACUCUGUGCCAGCAGCCGCGGUAAUACAGAGGGGGCAAGCGUUGUUCGGAAUUAUUGGGCGUAAAGGGUGCGUAGGCGGUGCGGUAAGUCUUCUGUGAAAUCUCCGGGCUCAACUCGGAGUCUGCAGGAGAAACUGCCGUGCUUGAGUAUGGGAGAGGUGAGUGGAAUUCCUGGUGUAGCGGUGAAAUGCGUAGAUAUCAGGAGGAACACCUGUGGCGAAAGCGGCUCACUGGACCAUAACUGACGCUGAGGCACGAAAGCUAGGGGAGCAAACAGGAUUAGAUACCCUGGUAGUCCUAGCCCUAAACGAUGAUUGCUUGGUGUAGCAGGUACCCAAUCCUGCUGUGCCGCAGCUAACGCGUUAAGCAAUCCGCCUGGGGAGUACGGUCGCA